rfam:Lactobacillus capillatus DSM 19910 NODE_39, whole genome shotgun sequence.
GGGUUAUUAGCUCAGUUGGGAGAGCGCCUGCUUCGCAUGUAGGAGGUCGCCGGUUCAAGUCCGGCAUGAUCCA